GAAAUUCCAUAGCAUAGUUUCAGUGUCCUUCAAGAGGGAACGACAAAUCAGUUUUUAAUUAAUGUAAACUCAGUAAAAGUGAUACUAUCUGAAGUGUUAUUACAAUUAUCUGAUAAAACAUUAUCUAUUGUCUUUUCAAAUUGAAAUUUCUUCAUAAUUAAAGUUAUAAAAGGGGCAAAUAGCACUGGCAAAAAGAAGAGUGAAGAAUUUAUUGGAAAAGCAAUGUGUGAUUAUUGCGACUGCGUUACUUCUAAACAAAAACGUAACAUGAGCGGGACCUCAAAAUUUUUGUAAACUAAUGUAUCAGAAGAUGAAAAAUAUCCAAAUAUAUCUAUAGGUCUGUUUUUUGUUCAUUAAUAUAUGACAAGGUAUAUAUUUUUGAUAAACAAAAUAUAUGAAAAGGGUGGGGUACUUGAUGUCUCAGUUGCUCACCCCUACCCAUAAAAGUUUGAAGUGGCCCCCCGGGAUAUCAAAGUGAAGUUUAGAGUCAAUAUCGGAAAUUAGUUUUAAGUCUUUUGGCAUUAAACUUAUUCUCCUCUAUUAGAAACUGAUGUAUAUAAAUUAUUACUGCUUAAAAA
rnacentral:lncRNA from 1 species